rnacentral:rRNA from 1 species
CCUACGGGAGGCAGCAGUAAGGAAUCUUCCGCAAUGGGCGAAAGCCUGACGGAGCAACGCCGCGUGGGCGAUGAAGGCCUUCGGGUCGUAAAGCCCUUUUCUGUGGGACGAUAAUGACGGUACCACAGGAAUAAGCCACGGCUAACUACGUGCCAGCAGCCGCGGUAAUACGUAGGUGGCUAGCGUUAUCCGGAUUCACUGGGCGUAAAGAGCGCGUAGGCGGUGUGCUAAGUUGGACGUGAAAGCCCCCGGCUUAACCGGGGGAGGUCGUCCAAUACUGGUGCACUUGAGGGUGGACGGGGAAAGCGGAAUUCCCGGUGUAGUGGUGAAAUGCGUAGAUAUCGGGAGGAACACCAGUGGCGAAGGCGGCUCUCUGGUCUUGUUCUGACGCUGAGUAUGCGAAAGCCUGGGGAGCGAACCGGAUUAGAUACCCGGGUAGU